rnacentral:rRNA from 1 species
AGCGAACGCUGGCGGCAGGCUUAACACAUGCAAGUCGAGCGGGCCCUUCGGGGUCAGCGGCGGACGGGUGAGUAACGCGUGGGAACGUGCCUUCUGGUCUGGAAUAGCCCUGGGAAACUAGGGCUAAUACCGGAUACGCCCUUUUGGGGAAAGGUUUACUGCCGGAAGAUCGGCCCGCGUCUGAUUAGCUAGUUGGUGGGGUAACGGCCUACCAAGGCGACGAUCAGUAGCUGGUCUGAGAGGAUGAUCAGCCACACUGGGACUGAGACACGGCCCAGACUCCUACGGGAGGCAGCAGUGGGGAAUAUUGGACAAUGGGCGCAAGCCUGAUCCAGCCAUGCCGCGUGAGUGAUGAAGGCCUUAGGGUUGUAAAGCUCUUUUAUCCGGGACGAUAAUGACGGUACCGGAGGAAUAAGCCCCGGCUAACUUCGUG